GGGGCAAGCGUUGUCCGGAUUUACUGGGCGUAAAGGGCGCGUAGGCGGUUUUGUAAAGUCGAAGGUGAAAUCCUCGGGCUCAACUCGAGAAUUGCCUUCGAUACUGGCAAACUAGAGUGCCGGAGAGGAAAGCGGAACUCUUGGUGUAACGGUGGAAUGUGUAGAUAUCAAGAGGAACACCGGUGGCGAAGGCGGCUUUCUGGACGCACACUGACGCUCAGGCGCGAAAGCGUGGGUAGCAAACAGGAUUAGAUACCCUGGUAGUCCACGCCAUAAACGAUGGGUACUAGGUGUCGGGGGUAUCGACCCCUCCGGUGCCGCAGUUAACGCACUAAGUACCCCGCCUGGGGAUUAUGGUCGCAAGGCUGAAACUCAAAGGAAUUGACGGGGCCCCGCACAAGCGGUGGAGCAUGUGGUUUAAUUCGACGCAACGCGAAGAACCUUACCUGGGCUUGACAUGCUUGGGACAGCGCUGGAAACAGCGUCUCUCCUUCGGGAGCCCUUGCACAGGUGCUGCAUGGCUGUCGUCAGCUCGUGUCGUGAGAUGUUGGGUUAAGUCCCGCAACGAGCGCAACCCUCGUUACUAGUUGCCAUCAGUUCGGCUGGGCACUCUAGUGAGACUGCCGGUGAUAAACCGGAGGAAGGUGAGGAUGAUGUCAAGUCAUCAUGGCCCUUACGCCCAGGGCUACACACGUGCUACAAUGGUCGGCACAAAGGGUCGCUAAGCCGCGAGGUGGAGCUAAUCCCAAAAAGCCGGCCUCAGUUCGGAUUGGAGUCUGCAACCCGACUCCAUGAAGGCGGAAUCGCUAGUAAUCGCGGAUCAGCAUGCCGCGGUGAAUAUGUUCACCGGGGCUUGUACACACCGCCCGUCAUAUCACCCGAGUCGGGGAUACCCGAAGUCCGUGACCCAACCAUUUGGAGGGAGCGGC
rnacentral:rRNA from 1 species